rnacentral:rRNA from 1 species
AGAGCGAACGCUGGCGGCAGGCCUAACACAUGCAAGUCGAGCGCCCCGCAAGGGGAGCGGCAGACGGGAGAGUAACACGUGGGAACGUGCCCUUUGGUUCGGAACAACCCAGGGAAACUUGGGCUAAUACCGGAUAAGUCCGUAAGGAGAAAGAUUUAUCGCCGGAGGAUUGGCCCGCGUUCGAUUAGCUUGUUGGUGAGGUAACGGCUCACCAAGGCGAUGAUCGAUAGCUGGUCUGAGAGGAUGAUCAGCCACAUUGGGACUGAGACACGGCCCAAACUCCUACGGGAGGCAGCAGUGGGGAAUAUUGGACAAUGGGCGCAAGCCUGAUCCAGCCAUGCCGCGUGAGUGAUGACGGCCUUAGGGUUGUAAAGCUCUUUCGCUCGGGACGAUAAUGACGGUACCGAGAUAAGAAGCCCCGGCUAACUUCGUGCCAGCAGCCGC